rfam:Phycisphaerae bacterium L21-RPul-D3, complete genome.
GCGGAUGUGGCGGAAUUGGCAGACGCGUUAGCUUCAGGUGCUAAUGGGCAAUACGCCCGUGGAGGUUCGAGUCCUCUCAUCCGCA